rnacentral:rRNA from 1 species
UACGUAGGGCGCAAGCGUUGUCCGGAAUCAUUGGGCGUAAAGCGCGCGUAGGUGGCCUCAUAAGUCCGCUGUGAAAGUCCAAGGCUCAACCUUGGAAAGCCGGUGGAUACUGUGAGGCUAGAGUACGGAAGAGGCGAGUGGAAUUCCUGGUGUAGCGGUGGAAUGCGCAGAUAUCAGGAGGAACACCAAUAGCGAAGGCAGCUCGCUGGGACGUUACUGACACUGAGGCGCGAAAGCGUGGGGAGCGAACAGG